GGCACAUUGAAAAACUAAGGUAAGGCUUGCGAUCGUCUCGUGCUGUGUCUUAGAAAAGGGUCUUCUUAAUUUUGUGAGUGUGAUAGAAAAAAAAAAUACGGGGGGAGUCUUAUUAACUAUAUUGUGCAGUUCCGAGCCGUGCAACAUGCGGGUAUUUUCCAUUUUGCAUCUUUGCUUCCUUUUACUUGCAAUGAUGCUAAGCCUGGAUCUCGUGGCCGCCGACCCAGUGCCCGAUCCAGGCAUACCCAUUGAAGUCAACCUGGAGAUUCCUGACGGUGUCGAUGUCAUGAAAAGGUUGGAAGCCAAAGAUAAGGAAGUGGAAUGCGACGCGACAGUCACACCGUAGUAAGAAGAAGAAGGAGAAGGAGAGA